rnacentral:tRNA from 1 species
CUUAUGGCGGAUAAGCGCAAUAGAUUUAAGCUCUAUAUAUAAUUUAUAAUUUAAGGGUA